UUCGAUUAAGCCAUGCGAGUCGAGAGUCUUAGGGACUCGGCGUACCGCUCAGUAACACGUGGGUAACCUGCCCUAUGCUGGGGAAUAACCUCGGGAAACUGAGAAUAAUGCCCCAUAGUCCACCAUGCCUGGAACGGUUGGUGGAUCAAAGCUCCGGCGGCAUAGGAUGGGCCUGCGGCGUAUCAGGUUGUAGGGGGUGUAAUGUACCCUCUAGCCAUCAACGCGUACGGGUGUUGGGAGACAUAGCCCGGAGAUGGAUUCUGAGACACGAAUCCAGACCCUACGGGGUGCAGCGGGCGCGAAAACUUGGCAAUGCGAGCAAUCGUGACCAGGGAACUCCAAGUGGCUGGGGUAAGACCCAGUCUUUUCUUGACUCUUCAAAGGUCUUGGAAUAAGGGGUGGGUAAGGACGGUGCCAGCCGCCGCGGUAAUACCGGCGCCUCAAGUGGUAGUCGAUUUUAUUGGGCCUAAAACGUCCGUAGCCUGUUUGGUACAUUCGUGGGUAAAUCAACCAGCUCAACUGAUUGAAUUCUGCGAGCACGGCCAGACUUGGGACCGGGAGAGGUGUAGGGUACGCUCAGGGUAGGGGUAAAAUCCUGUCAUCCUGAGCGGACCACCUGUUGCGAAGGCGCCACACUAGAACGGAUCCGACGGUCAGGGACGAAGCCUAGGGGCACGAACCGGAUUAGAUACCCGGGUAGUCCUAGGUGUAAACGCUGUGGACUUGGUGUUGGGGAUUCUCCGAGGAUUCUCAGUGCCGAAGCGAAGGUGAUAAGUCCACUGCCUGGGGAGUACGGUCGCAAGGCUGAAACUUAAAGGAAUUGGCGGGGGAGCACCGCAACCUGAGGAUUGUGCG
rnacentral:rRNA from 1 species